rnacentral:misc_RNA from 1 species
GCCGGCUGGCUCCGUGCCCGUCCACCGAACGGUCGGCAGGCGAUCCGCGUCGGUCGCGCGAGGUGGUAUGGUUCCCCAGAGGCCGGUUCUUGUGCUGCCUACCCCUUCAGGGGAAGCGGGCCACUUGAUGUAAGCCUCCAUCCGGCGCCCUCCAACGGGCGCAGGAGGACAACAGAGCACACCCCGCGUACCACCGAGCCUUCGUCGGUCGCGUGGCGCGCGGGGACGUGCGAUGCUCUCGGACCCAGCGAACGCCGUGGGCGAGGACUCACGUCCCAGUCCCGAUAGAAGCUUCGAUAUAAUGCAUGACGGCCGCUCCCGCCCCCCGACCGCCCCGGCGGCGCGUGGGCGAGGCGCGGCGUCGCGGAGGAAUGC